rnacentral:rRNA from 1 species
UGGGGAAUAUUGGACAAUGGGGGCAACCCUGAUCCAGCGAUGCCGCGUGUGUGAAGAAGGCCUGCGGGUUGUAAAGCACUUUAGUUGGGGAGGAAAGGUAUGUACUGCAUAAGUGCAUGCUGUGACGUUACCCAAAGAAUAAGCACCGGCAAACUCUGUGCCAGCAGCCGCGGUAAUACAGAGGGUGCAAGCGUUAAUCGGAAUUACUGGGCGUAAAGCGCGUGUAGGUGGAUGAAUAAGUUGGAUGUGAAAGCCCCGGGCUCAACCUGGGAAUGCCAUUCAAAACUGUUCAUCUAGAGUAUGGUAGAGGGAAGUGGAAUUUCAGGUGUAGCGGUGAAAUGCGUAGAUAUCUGAAGGAACACCAGUGGCGAAGGCGGCUUCCUGGACCAAUACUGACACUGAGACGCGAAAGCGUGUGGAGCAAACAGGAUUAGAUACCC